rnacentral:rRNA from 1 species
AAAUCGGGAUUAAUAUCCCAUUAAUAUCCAGAGACACGCAUGUUUUCUGGUGAUUAGUGUUCCGCGCGGUUAGGUGAUGGGCAUGCUUGGCAUUAUUUACUUGGUGAGGUAACGGCUCACCAAGGCAAUGAUGCCUAGGGGUCCUGAGAGGGUUUUCCCCCACACUGGUACUGACACACGGACCAUACUCCUACGGGAGGAAGCAUUAAGGAAUAUUGGGCAAUAAGCCCAAGCCUGACCCAACCCUGCCGCGUGAAGGAUGACGGCCCUAUGGGUUGUAAACUGCUUUUGUAUGGCAAAAAACUCCCGCACGUGUGCGGGACUGAUUGUACCAUACAAAUAAACAUCGGCUAACUCCGUGCCAGCAACCGCGGGAAUACGGAUGAUGCAAGCGUUAUCCGGAUUCAUUGGCUUUAAAGGGUGCGCAUGCAGAUUAGUAAAUCAGUGGUGAAAACUCCCGGCUCAACCGGCAAAAUGCCAUUGAUACUGUUAAUCUUGAAUACACUUGAUGUAGGACGAAUGUAUCAUGUAGCACUGAAAUGCAUGCAUAUGAUACAGAACAUCUAUAGCGAAAGCCGCUUACCAAACUGUAACUGACGCUCAUGCACUAAAGCGUGGGGAGCAAACAGGAUUAGAUACCCUGGAAGACCACGCUGGAAACUAUGAUCACUCGCUGUUGGCGAUACACUGUCAGCGGCUUAGUGAAAUUGUUAACUGAUCCACUUGGGGAGUACGAU